GACGAACGCUGGCGGCGUGCUUAACACAUGCAAGUCGAACGGAAAGGCCCUGCUUUUGUGGGGUGCUCGAGUGGCGAACGGGUGAGUAACACGUGAGUAACCUGCCCUUGACUGUGGGAUAACUUCAGGAAACUGGGGCUAAUACCGGAUAGGAGCUCCUGCUGCAUGGUGGGGGUUGGAAAGUUUCGGCGGUUGGGGAUGGACUCGCGGCUUAUCAGCUUGUUGGUGGGGUAGUGGCUUACCAAGGCUUUGACGGGUAGCCGGCCUGAGAGGGUGACCGGCCACAUUGGGACUGGGAUACGGCACAGACUCCUACGGGAGGCAGCUGUGGGGAAUAUUGCACAAUGGGCGGAAGCCUGAUGCAGCAACGCCGCGUGCGGGAUGACGGCCUUCGGGUUGUAUACCGCUUUCGCCUGUGACGAAGCGUGAGUGACGGUAAUGGGUAAAGAAGCACCGGCUAACUACGUG
rnacentral:rRNA from 1 species